rnacentral:rRNA from 1 species
CUACGGGCUGCUGCAGUGGGGAAUAUUGCACAAUGGGGGAAACCCUGAUGCAGCAACGCCGCGUGGAGGAUGACGCAUUUCGGUGUGUAAACUCCUUUUAUAUAGGAAGAUAAUGACGGUACUAUAUGAAUAAGCACCGGCUAACUCCGUGCCAGCAGCCGCGGUAAUACGGAGGGUGCAAGCGUUACUCGGAAUCACUGGGCGUAAAGCGCGCGCAGGCGGCCCCUUAAGUUGGAUGUGAAAGCCUCCGGCUUAACCGUAGAACUGCAUCCAAAACUGAGGGGCUAGAGUCUGGGAGGGGAAGAUGGAAUUAGUUGUGUAGGGGUAAAAUCCGUAGAGAUAACUAGGAAUAGCAAAAGCGAAGGCGAUCUUCUGGAACAGUACUGACGCUGAGGCGCGAAAGCGUGGGGAGCAAACAGGAUUAGAUACCCCCGUAGUC